rnacentral:rRNA from 1 species
GACGAACGCUGGCGGCGUGCUUAACACAUGCAAGUCGAACGGAAAGGCCCUGCUUUUUUGGUGUGCUCGAGUGGCGAACGGGUGAGUAACACGUGAGUAACCUGCCCUUGACUUUGGGAUAACUUCAGGAAACUGGGGCUAAUACCGUAUAGGAGCUCCUGCUGCAUGGUGGGGGUUGGAAAGUUUCGGCGGUUGGGGAUGGACUCGCGGCUUAUCAGCUUGUUGGUGGGGUAGUGGCUUACCAAGGCUUUGACGGGUAGCCGGCCUGAGAGGGUGACCGGGCACAUUGGGACUGAGAUACGGACCAGACUCCUACGGGAGGCAGCAGUGGGGAAUAUUGCACAAUGGGCGGAAGCCUGAUGAAGCAACGCCGCGUGCGGGAUGACGGCCUUCGGGUUGAGAACCGCUUUCGCUUGUGACGAAGCGUGAGUGACGGUAAUGGGUAAAGAAGCACCGGCUAACUACGUG